rnacentral:sRNA from 1 species
GAUUUCAGUGCAAGAGGGCGUGGUUAGUGGUUUUGGCAUGGGUUCAUUUCAACUAUUUUCGAUCUGCACAUAUGGUUUGGCAGUAUGGUUUGGAGGGAAGAUGGUAUUAGAGAAAUGUUACUCAGGAGGACAAGUCAUUGGUGUGUUUUGGGCAAUAACGUCUGGUUGUUUGCGUCUGGGGCAGGCAUCUCCAAGCUUAAAAGCAUUUUCUGCAGGAAAAGCUGCUGCCUUUAAAAUGUUUGAAACAAUAAAGAGGCAUCCAGAUAUUGAUGCUUAUGACUCUUCUGGUCAACGACUAGAUGACAUAUCA